ACCAUUGAAUAAAAGGUAUUUGGAGAAAGAGAAAAGCGGAAAAAUAAAACUACAGAAAUGUAUUAAAAACCUGAGUUUGAUACCUAUUGCUAAUUAUCUGAACGGUUUAAAUAUACAUUUUACAGUAUGCCUAAAAUGUAUAAUAUAUGAACAAUAACAAGUUAAUAACAACACAUUUUCCCUAUUAUUUCUUUUUUAGUAGGCUACCAAGACAAUUCGCCACAGCUUUUCAUUGCAGCACAUUUACAUGUUUAGGAUGUUCCCAAGACUUCAAAAAUAUUAUAUCCUAGUUCAAACCUCCCGCAGUUUGUACAAGCCUAAAUCAGCCUCCUGCUCAGUUAACAAACAAACAAGAUGUCAAUAUUUUUAGAAAGUUAGUUCCAUCAUCACGCACCAUGAAUAUGUAAGCCCAAAACAAAAAAAUAGUAAUAAAACAACAUUAAAUUCAAUGAGCAAAUGCUGCAGACUGGACAUCAUGACAUCAUUCAGGGAUAGAAGGCAAGGCAGUGG